rnacentral:rRNA from 1 species
CACGUAGGGCGCAAGCGUUGUCCGGAAUUAUUGGGCGUAAAGAGUUCGUAGGCGGUUUGUCGCGUCGUUCGUGAAAACUUGGGGCUUAACUCCAAGCGUGCGGGCGAUACGGGCAGACUUGAGUACUACAGGGGAGACUGGAAUUCCUGGUGUAGCGGUGAAAUGCGCAGAUAUCAGGAGGAACACCGGUGGCGAAGGCGGGUCUCUGGGUAGUAACUGACGCUGAGGAACGAAAGCGUGGGUGGCGAACAGG